ACUCCUACGGGAGGCAGCAGUAGGGAAUUUUCGCAAUGGAGGAAACUCUGACGGAGCAAUACCGCGUGUGGAAGAAGAUUUUCGGAUUGUAAACCACUGUUGUAAGGGAAGAACGUUAUUAGUAGGAAAUGGCUAAUAAGUGACGGUACCUUACCAGAAAGGGACGGCUAACUACGUGCCAGCAGCCGCGGUAAUACGUAGGUCCGAGCGUUAUCCGGAAUUAUUGGGCGUAAAGGGCACGUAGGCGGACAAAUAAGUUUGAUGUCAAAUAUGAUGGCUCAACCAUCAAGAGGCGUUGAAACUGUUAUCUAGAAUCUCGGAGAGGUAAGUGGAAUUCCAUGUGUAGCGGUGGAAUGCGUAGAUAUAUGGAGG
rnacentral:rRNA from 1 species